AGAGUUUGAUCAUGGCUCAGAUUGAACGCUGGCGGCAGGCUUAACACAUGCAAGUCGAGCGGAGAGAGGUAGCUUGCUACUGAUCUUAGCGGCGGACGGGUGAGUAAUGCUUAGGAAUCUGCCUAUUAGUGGGGGACAACAUUUCGAAAGGAAUGCUAAUACCGCAUACGUCCUACGGGAGAAAGCAGGGGAUCUUCGGACCUUGCGCUAAUAGAUGAGCCUAAGUCGGAUUAGCUAGUUGGUGGGGUAAAGGCCUACCAAGGCGACGAUCUGUAGCGGGUCUGAGAGGAUGAUCCGCCACACUGGGACUGAGACACGGCCCAGACUCCUACGGGAGGCAGCAGUGGGGAAUAUUGGACAAUGGGCGCAAGCCUGAUCCAGCCAUGCCGCGUGUGUGAAGAAGGCCUUAUGGUUGUAAAGCACUUUAAGCGAGGAGGAGGCUACUUUAGUUAAUACCUAGAGAUAGUGGACGUUACUCGCAGAAUAAGCACCGGCUAACUCUGUGCCAGCAGCCGCGGUAAUACAGAGGGUGCAAGCGUUAAUCGGAUUUACUGGGCGUAAAGCGCGCGUAGGCGGCUAAUUAAGUCAAAUGUGAAAUCCCCGAGCUUAACUUGGGAAUUGCAUUCGAUACUGGUUAGCUAGAGUGUGGGAGAGGAUGGUAGAAUUCCAGGUGUAGCGGUGAAAUGCGUAGAGAUCUGGAGGAAUACCGAUGGCGAAGGCAGCCAUCUGGCCUAACACUGACGCUGAGGUGCGAAAGCAUGGGGAGCAAACAGGAUUAGAUACCCUGGUAGUCC
rnacentral:rRNA from 1 species